rnacentral:rRNA from 1 species
CGGAUUUACGGGGUGUAAAGGGAGCGUAGACGGCGUGCCAAGUCUGGUGUGAAAGGCGGGGGCCCAACCCCCGGACUGCUCUGGAAACUAUGUGACUGGAGUGCAGGAGAGGUGAGCGGAAUUCCUAGUGUAGCGGUGAAAUGCGUAGAUAUUAGGAGGAACACCAGUGGCGAAGGCGGCUCACUGGACUGUAACUGACGUUGAGGCUCGAAAGCGUGGGGAGCAAACAG